AACUCCAUUACCUGCUCAAACUCCACGACCCGCUCCACCACCACCAUCAGCUGCACAAUCAUUCCAAAAAACUAAAAAUUUAAUAUUGGAAAAUGAAUAUAAGGAAAGACAGAGACGGGCUGAGGAAAUUCACAAGUAUGAAGUAAUAUUGCUUCAGCAGAAAAUUAGAGAGGCUAAGGCAAAAGCUGAUCUAGCGGAGCUACAUUUGCGUACAGCAGGUAUGCCUACAGCUAGUGGGAAUGAAUAAAAUAGACUUUUUUUUUAAAUUUUGUAAUGUGUGUACUGUGCAAUAAUGUAAAUAAAUGAUUAAUUAAGA